ACUUUUCUUGCAAGUAAACAACAAGGAUCCUAAACAGCACCUGCAGAAGGUUGUUGUCCUUCUCCAAGCACUGUUUAGAUUCCUCCUUCUGCUUUCUCAGGCCACAGUGAGAAGCUUGUGUGACUUAGUUUCACACAGCUAUUGUGCUCCCUGCUUGCUUCUUGCAUUUAGCAUCCACACUUUGAAACAAAUGCACAGGAGUAGAAACCUUUGCAAACUUCAUGUAACUUGAUGUUCUGGAAUAGUGGAAGUUUUGGAUCUUUGUGGGUGUUCAGAGCAAUAGCUCAGAAAUGCUUAGAGUGUGAGCAGGAGCCUGCCAGAAUUGGGAACUGGUCUCCUCAUUUUCAAGCCAUUGGGACAGGCUCUUUCUUGGUGAGGCAGCUUGUCGGAGAUCAGGAGUGAUGUCUUUUUUCUGAGGAGAUGCACUUAGGUGGGAAUGGCCCAUAGCACCAUUGGAUGCAUAUUGCAGCCUUUGCAGGAGUGUUUUUGUAUCCUUGUGUGCUGUCAUUGGUGUGGCAAAAAGCAAGUGUCAUGUUAAUAUGAGUGCGACAGAAAAUGCUAAGGCUUUGUUCUCUCUCAGCGUCAGCGAAAGCGCCCGGGAGAGCCUCUUGAGUCCGGACCACCUCGGAAACGGAGAAGGCUGCUGCCCUCCAUCGCAGGUGGAAGUUGGCAGACAGAGGCAAGAGGCCCAGAGGAAAGUGGUUCACCUGCUUUAGAGCCUGAAUUCAUAGGUGUGUCAGGCAAAUCUUCUGAGGCUGCUGUUGUCACUGUUGGUGCUGGUGACUCUGCUAUGCGUCAGCGAAAGCGCCCGGGAGAGCCUCUUGAGUCCGGACCACCUCGGAAACGGAGAAGGCUGCUCCCCUUCAGCGCAGGUGGAAGUUGGCAGGCAGAGGCAAGAGGCCCAGAGGAAAGUGCUUCACCUGCUUUAGAGCCUGGUAAGAACAGAAACUACUUCUGCGGGCUUGGAGUUGAUUUGAACAUGUGCUUUUGCCAGUUCCUAGGCCCUUUCCUGGGGAGGAAGGGAACCUUGGGGUGGAGGAAGCACCUGGUAUGGCAUCCCUAAACAACAAGCCCACUGGCCGCUGUUUUGGUUUGUUACUGGCCUCUAUACAUUGGCCUCUAGUGGGAGAUGAGCUGUGUAGCAAAGGCCCCAGGUGCUGCUCAAACACCUGGAUGUGUGCUCUGAGGAGCUGGCAGUGACUGCAGCAGCCACAGUGUCGGUGGCAGGCUGAGUUAGGGAUCUGCCAAGCUGGAGAAAGAUGAAGAAAAGUUAGUCAUUAGCUGUGGCCCAUUCUUCAGGGGAGCAUGGACAGCAUGGUACUGUAAAAUUAUCAUCCCCUCUAGUUUUGGUUGUUUCUUUCUCCUGUGUGCUAAACAUUCCCCUGUGUGAGAGGAAUGAUCUGUUGGGGUGAACGUCUCGUAAGCUGUUGUCACCCAACAGAACUUGUGAGGAGCUCAGGUGCUCUUCCUCUUGUUUUGCCCCUUCUGAGGACAGGGCUGGCAAUGCUCCCUCUGGACUAUUGAGGGCAAAGCUUGAGUGAAAUCUUUGACACAUUCCUGAAACGUAGGGCACAUUGAAAUGAAGCACAGCCUAUUCAACAGAGGCAGUCCAUUUCAUUGCUCUGCAAUCUCCGACCUUCAUUCUAAUGUUCUCUUAUUUCAGUUCAUGGAGAAUUCAUAGGUGUGUCAGGCAAAUCUUCUGAGGCUGCUGUUGUCACUGUUGGUGCUGGUGACUCUGCUAUGGUAAGUAGUGACUGGCACACUCCUCUCCAUGUUGCAUGCAGAUUAAUUUUCAUGCCCUCUGGAAUCUUACUAAGUCCCCUGGCCUCCAAGGCUGAAAGAUGCCUCUGAUGUAGCACUUUAGACACAGUUCCCAGUCAACUCCAAACACACUCACAGACACUUCAGCAUGAAUGUGAAUCUUGAAACAUUUUACGAGGUACUUCUAGAAAUGAUUUCAAUGGUUUGUUGUCACAGUGUUUUAGGGAUGGUGAGGCAGUAGCACACAGACUCUCUGAGGGGUUGUCCAAGAGAGCAAGUUUUAUUAUUCCAGUUCUUUUCUA
rnacentral:lncRNA from 1 species